rnacentral:rRNA from 1 species
UACGAACUGUGCGAACGUUAUUCGGAAUCACUGGGCUUACAGGGUGCGUAGGCGGCUAUUCAAGUCAGGUGUGAAAGCCCCCGGCUCAACCGGGGAAUUGCGCUUGAAACUGGAUGGCUCGAGUCAGCUAGAGGUGCACGGAACUUCCAGUGGAGCGGUGAAAUGUGUUGAUAUUGGAAGGAACACCGGAGGCGAAAGCGGUGCACUGGGGCUGGUCUGACGCUGAGGCACGAAAGCCAGGGGAGCGAACGGG